rnacentral:misc_RNA from 1 species
CGACCGGUUCUUGGUUGCACUUUCCACGCCUUCGCAGGCGACUUGGGCGGCUCUCGAUGUCCGUCCCGUCUCUCCCCUCUCCUCCUCCUCCACCAUCGCUCCCUCAUACGCACACGUAAAAGCAAGCGCACCCACGCACCUUAUCGUUUCCUUUGUGUUUGGUGGAACGCCUCCUUCGUUUGCGCACUACCAUGAAUCUAUCUCGCGGUGUCACUGUUGAUGUGGAGAGGUUGCUGUGAGCGUGCGCGCGCGUCCUCUCUCCCUUCGUUCCAUGUGCUUCUUUUCCUUGAUUACACACGGUAUUACGACACAGGCAUACCUAAGGACGGUGAAGGGAUGACGCGUCUCGACUCUCUUCUUCUCCCUCAUUCUCAUCCUCUCCCGCGGCUAGUAAGCGAGACCAGCCCCCGCCCCACCUACCCCCUGGAAGAGCAAAACGCCGGUCUUGGCGCGGUGGUUUCCAGCGAGUGGAUGGGCUUCUAUUCGAUGUUGGGGGAGGGGGAGGUGUUACACGCGCGUCUACCUCCGGCUCUUCUCUUCAGGUCUUUUCGCUCGCACACUCCAGCCACGAAGUUCGAUGGCGUCUUAUCUCUCCUCGUACGGAUCUUCGCUAUUUCUGUCGGGCGGCUUCCCGUCGCAGCGCACGGGUAUAUAUGCAUACGUACAUGCAAGGUGUGUGUUUGUGUGUGUGUGUGUGUGGCCCUCAUCCCUCCCGCCUCCCUUCUUACCUUGGGGUGGAUGUUAACCGUUUUUGCUGUCUUGUCUGCGUGCUCAGGCCAGUCCCUGACGACCCGCCACCAUCACCCUCCCUCCCUCCCUCCCUCCUCCUCCUCCUCCUCUCUGCCUGACCUCACACUAG